GACAGAGAUGCUAGAGAUAAAAGGAAGGCAGAUUUUGCUUGGUGUACUUUCCUACUAGGAAGGAGAGGGUUGCUUUUUACUGCAGCUCUUUCCCUGUGAAAUAAGUGGCUUGUGGUUAUAUCCCUUUCUGCAGAGAAAGGCAUAGAUACUCAAGCCUUAUACUUUGAUAGGUAUUAAUACCAGAAUGGACCACAACAGUUAUUCACAGUGUGACUUUCUGUAUGCUACAGAUAUUAGUUUUUGUGAGGUGAUUCCUGCCUCUUAGCAUAGGGGCUUGUGAAUAUGCAAUAUAAGUGUUUGUAAGACCACCUGACAUUACUUCCUGUGAUUGCAAGACCCCCCGAGGAUAUGUUACGUGUGUUUCCUGUUACUUCUCCUAGGGAUUCUGACUAGUAUGAAGGGAAGCCUACCUCUCCCCAUUAGAUGCCCUGCAGCCUACAGAGCAAUGCAGAUACCAGGCUCGACAUGCUCACACAAGAGGGUUUGGGGUUCUGCUUCACAGUGAGACACUGACAGAAUCAGAGGGAACUAUGUCAUCCUGUGAUCUGAUUUUCAUCUCGAAGGCUUCACUCAGGUUUCGGAAAAAGUCUUUUUCCAGUGACAUUUAAUCCACCCUCACGCACGCUGUUUCUUGUCUUUCCUGACUCUGUUCAGGUGGAAACUUUUCUCAGCUACAAAUAGCUGCAUUUAUUACGUAUGUCCUUGCUUCCUUUAGGAUGCAUUGGAAAAUCCACUACAAAUAUAUAGUAGGACAGAGUCCAAAUUUUAA